AUACGGAGGGGGCUAGCGUUGUUCGGAAUUACUGGGCGUAAAGCGCGCGUAGGCGGAUUGAUCAGUCAGGGGUGAAAUCCCGGAGCUUAACUCCGGAACUGCCUUUGAUACUGUCAAUCUUGAGUUCGAGAGAGGUGAGUGGAAUUCCUAGUGUAGAGGUGAAAUUCGUAGAUAUUAGGAAGAACACCAGUGGCGAAGGCGGCUCACUGGCUCGAUACUGACGCUGAGGUGCGAAAGCGUGGGGAGCAAACAGGAGUAGAAACCCUAGUAGUCC
rnacentral:rRNA from 1 species